GUCUUCGUAGUGUAAUGGUAGCACACUCGGCGCGUAUUCGAGAGGUCCAGGUUCGAGUCCCCGGCGAGGGCA
rnacentral:tRNA from 1 species